rnacentral:tRNA from 1 species
GGGGGCGGUGGCCGGCGGUGCGGUGGCCGGCGGUGCGGUGGCCGACGGCGCGGUGGCCGGCGGUGCGGGCUGCUCGGCCUCGGCCUCGGCUUCGCC